GUUUAAGGAAUUAUCCAACGCGUGCUAAAAUCAGUCGACUCACCUUUGGCAGCCAAAGUCUGAUCGACAAUCCGAGCGUGUCUACAGACUCAAAAUAAUGUGUAGAUGAUGGUUCUAGCAUCUGAUUUUCAAUUUAGCACUCAAUCAUCCUGAAUCAUUUCGGACAGUUCUCAAACGUUGAUUUUCCAAUGGAUCCCAAUCGCUACGUAAUUAGUGUCAUGGGAAAGAUCAUGAUGAGGGAGCCUGAUGGUGUGUUCUGAUCAAUCUAACAUCGUUGAAGAUGGCAGAAAGGUCCAAAAACCAUGCUGCCUUCCUAAUUUUUCCUUCAUUGAAGCUCUCUUUUCCGGCCACCAUUAUCACUGUUGCUGCCCUCAACAGAAAGCCCAACUUAGAUGAGUUGAUUGCCACCUAUUUCAGCUGCCACUGUCGCCAGAAACGCCAUGAACAACGUUGAAAAAGCUGUUGUCCUUCUUCACUAUUGCUGCCAUCAGACGCCACCGAAGCUGCUGUCGCUGGUACUGCACUCUCUGGCGC
rnacentral:lncRNA from 1 species